UCUACGGGUGGCAGCAGUGGGGAAUAUUGGACAAUGGGGGCAACCCUGAUCCAGCCAUGCCGCGUGUGUGAAGAAGGCCCUCGGGUUGUAAAGCACUUUCAGUGAGGAAGAACGCCUGGUGGUUAAUACCCAUCAGGAAAGACAUCACUCACAGAAGAAGCACCGGCUAACUCCGUGCCAGCAGCCGCGGUAAUACGGAGGGUGCGAGCGUUAAUCGGAAUUACUGGGCGUAAAGCGCGCGUAGGUGGCUUGAUAAGCCGGUUGUGAAAGCCCCGGGCUCAACCUGGGAACGGCAUCCGGAACUGUCAAGCUAGAGUGCAGGAGAGGAAGGUAGAAUUCCCGGUGUAGCGGUGAAAUGCGUAGAGAUCGGGAGGAAUACCAGUGGCGAAGGCGGCCUUCUGGACUGACACUGACACUGAGGUGCGAAAGCGUGGGUAGCAAACAGGAUUAGAUACCCUAGUAGUC
rnacentral:rRNA from 1 species